rnacentral:rRNA from 1 species
AUUGAACGCUGGCGGCAUGCUUUACACAUGCAAGUCGAACGGCAGCACGGGGGCAACCCUGGUGGCGAGUGGCGAACGGGUGAGUAAUAUAUCGGAACAUGUCCGGAAGUGGGGGAUAACGUAGCGAAAGUUACGCUAAUACCGCAUAUGCCCUGAGGGGGAAAGGAGGGGAUCGCAAGACCUUUCGCUUUCGGAGUGGCCGAUAUCAGAUUAGCUAGUUGGUGGGGUAAAGGCCUACCAAGGCGACGAUCUGUAGCUGGUCUGAGAGGACGACCAGCCACACUGGGACUGAGACACGGCCCAGACUCCUACGGGAGGCAGCAGUGGGGAAUUUUGGACAAUGGGCGCAAGCCUGAUCCAGCCAUGCCGCGUGAGUGAAGAAGGCCUUCGGGUUGUAAAGCUCUUUCGGACAGAAAGAAAUCGCCAUUCCUAAUACGAGUGGUAGAUGACGGUACUGUAAGAAGAAGCACCGGCUAACUACGUGCCAGCAGCCGCAGUAACAC